CCGGGACCUUUACUAUAUCUUGAUAUUGGCACUCGGAACGGUUUGUGUAGCAUAGGUGGGAGACUUUGAAGCGGCACGCCAGUGUUCGUGGAGUCAUCGUUGAAAUACCACUCUAAUCGUUUUGAGUUUCUAACCUCGGUCCAUGAUCUGGAUCAGGGACAGUGUCUGGUGGGUAGUUUGACUGGGGCGGUCGCCUCCCAAAAAGUAACGGAGGCGCUCAAAGGUUCCCUCAAUCUGGUUGGCAAUCAGAUGUCGAGUGUAAGUGCACAAGGGAGCUUAACUGUGAGACAGACAUGUCGAGCAGGUGCGAAAGCAGGAACUAGUGAUCCGGCGGUGGCUUGUGGAAGCGCCGUCGCUCAACGGAUAAAAGGUACCCCGGGGAUAAC
rnacentral:rRNA from 1 species